GUCCUAGCUGUAAACGAUGAGUACUAGGCAGCGGGAGUCCGAUGCUCUCGCUGUCGAAGCGAAUGUGCUAAGUACUCCGCCUGGGGAGUACGGCCGCAAGGCUGAAACUCAAAGGAAUUGACGGGGGCUCACACAAGCGGUGGAGCAUGUGGUUCAAUUCGAAGCAACGCGCAGAACCUUACCAGGGUUUGAAAUGCACGGAUUAGCCUCCUGAAAGGGAGGUGACACCUUUUGGUGGAACGUGCACAGGUGUUGCAUGGCUGUCGU
rnacentral:rRNA from 1 species